rnacentral:rRNA from 1 species
GGGCUUGACAUCCCACGAACCUGGAAACAGGGUCUCCCACUUCGGUGGGCUGGGUGACAGGUGCUGCAUGGCUGUCGUCAGCUCGUGUCGUGAGAUGUUGGGUUAAGUCCCGCAACAAGCGCAACCCUCACCCCUUGUUGCCAUCAGGUUUUGCUGGGCACUCUAGGGGAACUGCCCCGGUCAACGGGGAGGAAGGCGGGGACGACGUCAAGUCAUCAUGCCCCUUACGUCCUGGGCUACACACGUGCUACAAUGGCCGGUACAGAGGGAUGCUAGACCGCGAGGUGGAGCUAAACCCAAAAAGCCGGUCUAAGUUCAGAUUGGAGUCUGCAACUCGACUCCAUGAAGGAGGAAUCGCUAGUAAUCGCGUAUCAGCACGACGCGGUGAAUACGUUCCCGGGCCUUGUACACACCGCCCGUCACACCACGAAAGCCAGCUGUACUCGAAGUCGCUGAG